AGUCGAACGGACCGAUUUUCGGAUCGGUUAGUGGCAGACGGGUGCGUAACACGUAGGUGACCUGCCCCGAAGUGGGGAAUAAUCCCGCCAACGCGGGACUAAUACCGCAUGUGCUCGGCGAUUCGGUUCGUCGAGUAAAGCCCGCGAGGGCGCUUCGGGAGGGGCCUGCGGCGGAUUAGCUAGUUGGUGGGGUAAUGGCCUACCAAGGCGAUGAUCCGUAGGGGGCGUGAGAGCGUGGCCCCCCACACUGGCACUGAGACACGGUCCCCACUCCUACGGGAGGCAGCAGUCUAGAAAUUUGGGCAAUGGGCGAAAGCCUGACCCAGCGACACCGCGUGGAGGAUGAAGUCCUUCGGGAUGUAAACUCCUGUCAGGGGGAACGAAGCCCGCCUUUGGCGGGUGACGGUACUCCCAGAGGAAGCCCCGGCUAACUACGUGCCAGCAGCCGCGGUAAUACGUAGGGGGCGNNNGCUGUCCGGAUUCACUNNNCGUAAAGGGUGUGUAGGCGGACCGGCGGGUCGAUGGUGAAAGCCCCCGGCUCAACCGGGGAACUGCCGUCGAAACUACCGGUCUUGAGGGCAGGNNNNNGAGCUGGAACUUCCGGUGUAGCGGUAAAAUGCGUGGAUAUCGGAAGGANCNNNNAUGGCGAAGGCAGGCUCCUGGAAUNNNNCNGANNNNNAAACACGAAAGCUAGGGGAGCAAACNGGAUUANNNACCCUGGUAGUCCUAG
rnacentral:rRNA from 1 species